GGGAUUGUAGUAUAACCUGGUAGCACAGCAGUCUCCAAAACUGCCUAUGGGAGUUCGAAUCUCUCCAAUCCCA
rnacentral:tRNA from 1 species